rnacentral:tRNA from 1 species
CCGGGGUAGCCUAGCCUGGCUAUGGCGCCAGACUCAUGAACAGGUGCCCAGAAGUCGCGGGCUCGAAUCCCGCCCCCGG